UGACGUAUCACGCCGCCGCCUUGUGGGAGUGGCGAGUCGGCGUAACGCGGUGUUCUGCCGUCGGAAGAGCUAGACUCGCGGUAGUUCCCCUCUUCAUCCUGUCUCGUGUUCUCGCGCCUCCUGCUUCUGCCAGAGAACAACAAUAAAAACAAGUUGGAGGCGUCGGUGACCCACCGAGGAACGCUUGGCCUAGCUGAACAGAAAUGGAACCUUGCCUUCCUGUGAUCCCGACCCCAACCAGUGGCUCUGAUAUAACAUAGUUCUCCCCAGCCCCUUGGAUAUUGCUCCCAGUGGCCUUAAAACAGUUGCUCAUAUUGAAUUCCUGGCUUGGACGCAAGUUUUGGUGCAUAAAAACAAGAAAAAGCAAGACACAAAAGUAAAGACAAGCAGAGUUUUUGCACAACCUUGGGAUUUAAGUGUUAAGCCAUUAUCCAGACAAAAGGGAAUACUUAACAGUCCAUGCGCGAUGCAGGGGAUAUUAUUAUUAUUGCAGGACUGGUAAUAAUAAAAUAGUGUUUAGUAUUCCCUUAUGUACGGAUCAUGGUUUAACACUUUAUCCCAUGGUUGUACGAAAACUCUUGCUUGUCUUUACUUUUGUGUUUCGCUUUUUCUUUUCUGUCUUUAUCUUUUUUUAUUUCAUCAGUUGUUAUUAACAUGGUGACUGUAUUGGUGUAGAAUUCUGCUCUAUGAAGCAAUAAACGUGUUGGGUAACUUCUAAACUUCUAAACAGCAUUUCAUUUUAAUGGUGUAUGACUCACUGUAGAGUCAAAUGGGGUUUCUCUUAAGUCUAAUAUUUCUCACCCCCUUAAACUUUGAGUUCAGC